GGCGCAGUGGCGGAGUGGUCUAACGCGCAAGACUAGAAUGUCUGGAGUCUUUUCGAGACUUCGGGGAUCUGCGAUCUUGUUCCUUCGGGAGCGUCUGUUCGAAUCAGGCCUGCGUCG